GUAUUUAUGUCUCAGAACGUAAGUCUCUGCUUAAAUGUUCGGCUACUGGUAUGAGUUGUGUUCGGCAAUAAUAACGCAUAAUUAUGUGGGAUUGAGUUCAACUAAGAUGCAGCGCCCUUUGUGGUUUUGAACAGUUUAAGCUAUGAUUGAAACCAUUCUUGUUGGUUUCCUUCCAUCUUUUUUUUUUUGUUUAUAUUAUUAGUUUGUUUGUCAGUUUUCAAUAGGAUCUGCUAAUAAAAUUAUCAAAUUUUAUAAUAUAUGAUUUGAACUUUUGUUUGAGCUUUGAGUUAGCCCGUAUUUUUCUUUAGUAAUGUAGACGCUAAUUCUGACAAUGCAGCUGUCACUAAGGCUUUGGGUGACAUCAGAAGCAGGGGGAAGUUCAAAAGCGUUUGGGAAGCUGGAAAAAUCAUUUAUACUAUGUCACUCUGGGGAAUUUUUCUUGCAGGCUUGUAUAGACACCGGGCUAUAGUGAAAGCUGCUGCCAAAGGUGCUUCUUCAUCCGCCAAAUUUAUUCUCAAGGCUCUUUAAUUUCUAGCAUUUCUUCUAGUUCUACGACAAUCAGUAAAUGUUGUGCUGUACAUAAACUAGCAAUCCAAAAAAAAAAAAAAACUUCGAUUGAGAAUUUGAACCUGUAAUGUUCUUCACAAUGAUUUCAUUGUUUGUUCUACCCUUCAUAUGCUAAGGGUGGAUUCUGAUGGUAACAGUGCCACAAUGGUAUUAAGAAGUCUGAAACAUGUCCUGUACAAAUUGAUUUUAUUUGCUUAGUUAUUCCAACAAAAGCAA